AGAGUUUGAUCCUGGCUCAGAACGAACGCUGGCGGCAGGCCUAACACAUGCAAGUCGAACGCUGUAGCANUACAGAGUGGCAGACGGGUGANUAACGCGUGGGAAUAUCCCCCUCAGUACGGAAUAGCUCAGGGAAACUUGGGGUAAUACCGUAUACGUCCGUGAGGAGAAAGAUUUAUCGCUGAGGGAUUAGCCCGCGUAGGAUUAGCUAGUUGGUGAGGUAAUGGCUCACCAAGGCGACGAUCCUUAGCUGGUCUGAGAGGACGACCAGCCACACUGGGACUGAGACACGGCCCAGACUCCUACGGGAGGCAGCAGUGGGGAAUAUUGGACAAUGGGCGCAAGCCUGAUCCAGCCAUGCCGCGUGAGUGACGAAGGCCUUAGGGUUGUAAAGCUCUUUUGGCGGGGACGAUAAUGACGGUACCCGCAGAAUAAGCCCCGGCUAACUUCGUGCCAGCAGCCGCGGUAAUACGAAGGGGGCUAGCGUUGUUCGGAAUUACUGGGCGUAAAGCGCACGUAGGCGGACUUUCAAGUCAGGGGUGAAAUCCCGGGGCUCAACCUCGGAACUGCCUUUGAUACUGUUGGUCUCGAGUCCGGAAGAGGUGGGUGGAAUUCCUAGUGGAGAGGUGAAAUUCGUAGAUAUUAGGAAGAACNCCGGUGGCGAAGGCGSCCCACUGGUCCGGUACUGACGCUGAGGUGCGAAAGCGUGGGGAGCAAMCAGGAUUAGAUACCCUGGUAGUCCACGCCGUAAACGAUGGAUGCUAGCCGUCGGCAAGCUUNCUUGUCGGUGGCGCAGCUAACGCAUUAAGCAUCCCGCCUGGGGAGUACGGCCGCAAGGUUAAAACUCAAAGGAAUUGACGG
rnacentral:rRNA from 1 species